rnacentral:lncRNA from 1 species
GCAAAUAUAAAGAACACAGUUGACAGCCUUACUAGAAAACUUAUUUUCUAAAGUAAGUUUUAAGCUCAGCCAACCAAACAUGCUCUAAUAAAUCUAAACAGGAACAUUCAGUGCUGCAACAUCAAAAUAAUUUUAAGUAACAUGCCCGAUGUACAGCAAAACAAGAACUUAAAUUACCUCGGUAGAUGCCUCUUUUAACUACAGAAGAAUCAUGUAUACUAGUUUAUCAAAAGCCAGAUUCUUACAUGAAGGGAAGCAUCUCCAAUUUCAUGCCCUACAUGGCAUUUUCGGUCUCAUGGCAUCGUCACCAUCUGGUCAAACCCAAGCUCAUUUGCAUUUUUCAUCAUACGCCUCUGCCUCAACCUACCAGCAACAGCUGCAACACUAUCAGAUGCUAGUUCAGUGGUGCAAGCACGCUUCUUUCUAGAUUUUGAACUUGUUUCCACAGCAAGAAAACUAUUGUUGUCCACCAUGCAUGUGAUAUCCUCUUUCUUGAGUUUUUCAGGGUCAGACAUUGACACAUUACUGUUAGAGCUGGGAAAGGGAGAAUCGCUCAGUGAGUUGGGGUUUUUCAGUUUCAUAUUUACUCUGAUCAUGCUCUGGCGCAAGAAAAUCCUCAUUGUCCACGAUGUAGAUUUCCUCUUUCUUGUGAUUUUCGGGCUCUAGUAUAAAUACAUCUAUAUUCAUAUUGUUGGACUCGUAAAGAGAGCUGCUCAGUGAUUCCAGAAUUUUCGGUUUCAUAUUACUUUCAUCAUGUUCCCCGUCAACUUGUGCUGCCCCUUUAGUCUCACCCUGUUCGGUAUUCGAGUAUGUUAUCUCCACUUUUUCAUCAUUUGGUAUAACAUCUGUUCUAUUUUCUUCACUCUGAGGAUUGAUCCCUUGACAUCCAC